UAUCUGUCUCAUUGUUCUAUCUGUGUCGGAAUAUCUUCUUGACAUGCCCGUGGAAGACUGGAGCCCAAAUCCUAUGAACUCAAAUCAGGUAGAGCCACCUAGCGGUGAGUCUGUGCAGACGGGGACAAGCACAGUUGCAGCUGCUGCAUCGCGCAGUUAAUCAAGUUGAUAUCAGUCCGUUCUGAGAAGUAAACUAUUGGAAGAGGCCUGCAAACGAGUGACUUGGACGAAAGUGCGCUGUGCCAUGGCGUCAGUGCGUGUGGCUGUCCGUGUAAGACCCUUGAUCAAGAGAGAAAAGGAAGUGUCUGCGAAGGUCAUUAUCCACAUGGAGGGGAGCACCACUUCUAUAGAUUGCAACAAAAAG